rnacentral:sRNA from 1 species
GGCCUUUUGAGGGGCUCGGCUAGCUUCAGCGCCGUGGGGUCUGACCUGGCUGGGUGUAGUGUCCCGGCCCGGCAGGAGGGGCGGCCUGGUCCGGGUUGCGCCUCCUGGAGCCGCCCCCGGGACGUCAGUCCUGGAGGAGGCGAGGAAACCCAGAAAGCUGACGUAGCCUGAGGACACACUGCUGAUUAUAAAUACAACUGGGCCUGGAACCCAAGUGCAGUUACUCCCCUCCCAUGUUUUCACCUCCGCCUCUAUUUCGUAGCUUCUCUCAAAUAACCUUAAUAUAAUCCUGGAUAUGACAGUAGUUCUUCUGACAUGACUGUUAGACUCAGACAUGACUGAAGUGUCUCACAACACCCUCUUCCUCCAUAUUUUCUGCCAGUACCUUAACUCAAAUUGUCAGCAAAAUAAAGACGUAAGGAGCUGUCCUUUACCAUAAUUAAGAAAGUAUUAAUAUGUUCUCUCAAGGGCAGAAUUUGAACCAAUAAUCCUUGUCGAUGACAAGACAAAUACCAGCUCAUCCGUUAUAAAUUUAUCUUAGAAAACUCCCAGAUCCCCAGGAGUAACAGCGAUUGGCGUGACCUGCUUUUUGGUGAAAUCAGAAAAGGACUUGCCUACCCUCAUGGCAGCAAUUAACUGGAGCUGGCUAAUAGCUACUCCCUUUAGAUAAGUACAUAUGCUCGAGUUUACCGUGAUUCUGUGACUCCCUACAUUUCUAACAGUUGUUACCUCUCUGGUCCUUCUAGGCAUUCAGCUUUGGAACUUUGAUAAAGCAGCUUAGGGGUUUAGGAAGGAUGUUUAAGAUCACUGAUGCAACUAUUCAUCUUUCCUUCCCAUCAGAUGUUUGAAUUCUUGCUGCAUUU